rnacentral:piRNA from 1 species
UGCAAUGAUGCAAUGAAGGUGAUGUU